rnacentral:rRNA from 1 species
GACGAACGCUGGCGGCGUGCUUAACACAUGCAAGUCGAGCGAGAGAGUUUUCUUCGGAAAACAAUCUAGCGGCGGACGGGUGAGUAACACGUGGGUAACCUGCCUCAUAGAGGGGGAUAGCCUCCCGAAAGGGAGAUUAAUACCGCAUAACAUCAUUUUAGCGCAUGCUGAAAUGAUCAAAGGAGUAAUUCGCUAUGAGAUGGACCCGCGGCGCAUUAGCUAGUUGGUGAGGUAACGGCUCACCAAGGCCACGAUGCGUAGCCGACCUGAGAGGGUGAUCGGCCACAUUGGGACUGAGACACGGCCCAGACUCCUACGGGAGGCAGCAGUGGGGAAUAUUGCACAAUGGGGGMAACCCUGAUGCAGCAACGCCGCGUGAGUGAUGACGGCCUUC